GAUGAACGCUGGCGGCGUGCCUAAUACAUGCAAGUCGAGCGAACAGAUGAGGAGCUUGCUCCUCUGACGUUAGCGGCGGACGGGUGAGUAACACGUGGAUAACCUCCCUAUAAGACUGGGAUAACUUCGGGAAACCGGAGCUAAUACCGGAUAAUAUAUUGAACCGCAUGGUUCAUUAGUGAAAGACGGUUUUGCUGUCUCUUCUAGAUGGAUCCGCGCCGCAUUAGCUAGUUGGUAGGGUAACGGCCUACCAAGGCGACGAUGCGUAGCCGACCUGAGAGAGUGAUCGGCGACCCGGGAGCUGAGACACGGUCCAGGCUCCUACGGGAGGCAGCAGUAGGGAAUCUUCCGCAGUGGGCGAAAGCCUGACGGAGCAACGCCACGUGAGUUAUGAAGGUCUUCGGAUCGUAAAACUCUGUUAUUAGGGAAGAACAAAUGUGUAAGUAACUAUGCACGGCUUGACGGUACCUGAUCAGAAAGCCACGGCUAACUACGUG
rnacentral:rRNA from 1 species